GGGGAUUUAGCUCAGUGGUAGAGCACUUGCCUAGCAAGCACAAGGCCCUGGGUUCAGUCCCAGCUCCG
rnacentral:tRNA from 1 species